CAGUCGCCACGGUAAUACGGAGGGUGCAAGCGUUAUCCGGAUUUAUUGGGUUUAAAGGGUCCGUAGGCGGACUUAUAAGUCAGUGGUGAAAGCCUGUCGCUUAACGAUAGAACUGCCAUUGAUACUGUAAGUCUUGAGUAUAUUUGAGGUAGCUGGAAUAAGUAGUGUAGCGGUGAAAUGCAUAGAUAUUACUUAGAACACCAAUUGCGAAGGCAGGUUACCAAGAUAUAACUGACGCUGAGGGACGAAAGCGUGGGUAGCGAACAGGAUUAGAUACCCGAGUAGUCCCUGUCUCUUAUAC
rnacentral:rRNA from 1 species